UCUGCAAUUCUCUUAUAUUCCGAAUCUGAAAAAGGUAAAUUUCUCAUUUCCUUAUCUUCGUUUCUACUACAUUUAUUUUCUUCUUCUUCAGAAAUGGAAAUGACAACGAUGAUGUUCAAAUGGAGGUAUGCACUCUCUCGGGAAGGCAUUGCGACCACAAAGUUGCGCUUUUCACAAUUGCAAGAAUCAUCGUACUACAUUAAGCAAGUAGUACGACCGUUUUAUAUCGUGAUGAUUUCUAAUUACAAUGCGAUAAAAGAUUUCUCCUUAGCGACGAAUACCUUUGACAUAUCUGCAGCUAUGUGGCUAUUAAUAUUCAUGUACAAGGAAGAUGGCUCCGAUUAUUGUCACGAUCCACCAGGUAAUAUAUUUCAUUUAAAAUUCAAUACCGAAAUGAUGGUCCGUUGUGGAACGGAAAAUAUUUUACGAGAAUGGUAUUCGAUCAAUUCUAAUCAUAUCGAGAUCAAUGACGUAGCUACGUGGAGCUUAGAGAAAGGAAUUACUAAAAUAGUUCCAGAUUCUCUAUACGAAAGAAGACAUAAUUUACAAGGUCUGGUAAUGAGAGCUGUUUUAGUUAAGGAUUCACCAUUCACAAAGAUAAACAAGGCUGGCGAAUUGGAUGGUAUAUAUGGUAGGAUAUUAAGAGAACUUUGUGUCACUCUCAAUUUUAGUUUGCACAUUGUCUCGGAAGUGGAACAGUAUGGAAGAUGGAAUCCAACAACAAAAACUUGGUCUGGUGCAAUUGCAGAAUUAUAUUAUGGACGCGCUGACAUUUCUCUUUCAGAGUUUUCUAUGACCAAUGCCAGAUUAAAUGCCGUUGAUUUCACGGUUCCUAUUUUUAACUCCAAAGACUGUCUCUUCAUCGAGAAACCAGACAUAUUCGCGAUUAAAUGGUCAUCUUAUUUUCUAGUACGACAACCUGCAAUCGAAUUUGUUAUUUUUUUCUUCUUCGUAACCUUUAUUAAUUAAGAAAAGUAAUUAUUGUAGACUUUUAAUUAUUCUGUUUGGAUUGCUAUGUUUGGAAUACUAAUUGCUUCAUCGAUUUUAUUGACUUUUCUUAAAAUAAAAAGUGGAACUGAUCGUAAAAUAGGGCAUUUAUUAUCCGAUAAUUUUUUGGAAAUUUGGGGUAUAUUUUGUCAACAAGGAAUCGCAGGUUUGAUUCAAUGUUUUUUGAUUUCAUUUUCUUAAUAAUUAUUUUUAUUUACAAGAGCAUUAAUAAUUUCUUUUGCUGUAACAUUAAUAUUCUUUUGCUGUAGAAUCUUCUGACAGAUUUUCGUUACGAAUAGCAUACUUCUCUGUAUUCCUUUUAAUUACCAUCUUAUCGGCUGCCUAUUCUGCGGCUUUGAUAAGCUUUUUGACGACCGUAAGCCACAUUUUACCCUUUAAUUCAUUAGAAGGUUUCGUUCAAGAUGGUACUUAUCAACUUGCUGUUUUUCGUGGUACGGCUCAUUAUGAUAAAUUUGCAAAUUCGGAAGAUCCACUUGCAAAAAAGUUAAUGAAGUUGAUGCUAGAAGAGGACAAAUUACCCUUAACUCCAUUAGAAGGAUUUACAAGUAUUUGUAAAAAUAGGAAGCUAGCAAUCUACUCGUUCGACGAAAUGGAAAAAAUAGUAGAUUCUAAAAUAUCAUGCAAUGUGGUUCGUAUUGAGACAGGAUAUGUAAAUUAUAUAGCUAUAGCUUUAUCUAAGCACAAUCCAUUUACCGAUGUCAUCAAUUUUCAGUUGCAGAAAUUUUUUGAGAAUGGUAUGGUGAAUCGUUUAAAAAAUUCACCAUUUGACAAGAAAUCCAAUGACAUGGUCAAGCAUCAACCAGUUCCUCUAAUCGGCGUACUAUCACUUUUUAUCUUCAUCCAAAUUGGUAUCAUUAUAAGUACUUGCAUUUUGAUUAUAGAAAAAUAUUUUUGCUUCUAAAAGGAAGAAGACCUCAAUGAUACAUCAUAGCCCAUCGAUUAAAUCUACAAGAUUUUAUACGAAAAAGAAGAAAAAUAUAAAAAAUGUUAGAAAAUAUUCCACGAAUCGCAAGUGUACAUGCGUAAAGUAUUAACGAAAACGCCAAUACUUGUUCUCAACAAGAUUUAUAUUUUGAUUAUAACUUUCUAAUAAAAUAGAAACACGCAUAUGCGUUAUUAAACUUUUCCAUUAUUAAAAUAUAAAAUAGAAAUUUUUCAUUAUAUUAUACGUAAAUUUAUGUAUAAUACAUUUUCGUUAUUUAUUAAAUGCAUAUACCCAUUUUUUAAUUUUUUGAUUGUUUCGAUUUUUCAUUCUUGCACGAGGUAUGAUAUGCCUAUGUAUUUCAUAGUUAAAAAAAAUUAUAUCUGGCGUUUUUUAUAUAUGAGUCAAGAUUUUUUAUCAAUGAGUAUGACUGAAUCAACUUUUUCACUAUACAUGUUUUUCUAUCUGAUACAAUUUAAUGUGAGCAUAUCUACCUGUCAAAUAUCUUAUAAUAACAAUCAUAAUCCAUGAUCUCGCAUGCCAUGCGAUAUUGUGUAUGGUAUGGGUAUAUCUCUCUCUCUCUCUCUCUCUCUCUCUCUCUCUCUCUCUUUUUCUCUCUCCCUCGCUCUCUCCCUCCCUCUCACUCUCUUUCUCAUUUUCACUCUGUGUGUGUAUGUAAUAUAAUAAUAGUAAUUGUAAUCAUUAAUCAGUUAAUUGCAAUUAAUUAUUAUUUGCAAAUAGAAUUAAUAAUAAUUACCCUCAUAAUUUGUAAUCCUGAAUCAAUAAUUUCUAAAACACCCAAUGAUAAAUUUAUAUUUCAUUAGGAUUAAUAAUCAAUAAUAUAUACCGAAAAUUAUGCGUAUAUUUAUCUAUUUCAAUUGUAUAGUGCUUUACGAUUUAAUAAAAUUAAAUUUAUUAUUGAUUAAUAUAUGUAAGGUAAAAAUAUUACUAUUUUACGUAUAAAUAACAAUAGUCUAAUACCUUGAAUAACAAUAUAUCCGUCGAGAUAAAAAAAAAGGUUUUAUUAUAUACAACACACUGCUACUAUCUUCAGCUUCUGUCAAAGGAUUAUUCUCAUGUGCAACUAAUAAAUAAAUGUACCCAAAAUAAUAAAUAAAUAUA